UCAAAUCAGGUAGGACUACCCGCUGAACUUAAGCAUAUCAUAAAGCGGAGGA
rnacentral:rRNA from 1 species